rnacentral:lncRNA from 1 species
GGUGGUGGAGCUGGUUCCAGCAAGUCUUAAGCUGCUCCUGCUUCCAAGUUCGCCAAGAAGUCCCAGGAUGACAAAACAGAGAGCAAGAACAUCAAAUGUUAGCAGAGAAAAAGAGGAUAGCUCUGAAGAGGAAAACCUCAAACCGUAGGUAAAUCAGCCGGUGCAAAAUCAAGAAGCAGCAAAGAGAUACCAGAAGCUGGAACAUCAAAGGACCAAGGAGACUCUGGAAAAUCCAAAGCUUCAUCCAAGAAAAAAGAAGAGCCGUCCAAGACUACAAUGAUGUCUUCAAAAUCCAAGUCAGGACCUGCAAAACCUUCAUCGGCCAAGGGCAAAGCAGCAAAAGGCAAGCAAAAUCUUCACCUUCCCCCAAGGGCAAGGAGAGCGAUGUGGAGUCUGAAUCAGAAGAGACACCGAAGGCACCAGAACCAGCUAUUUUCCUGUAGAUAGCUGAAACUGGACUAACACCUUGGAUAGUUUGUCCAUGCUUAUAAAUGAAUAUUGGAUUUUUGCUGCACGUAUUUUAAAGCUGUGAUCAAAUUAUAUGAUUCUGCUUAGAAGAAACAUCUAGUAAGCCCAAUUUUAUCAGUUUGUGGUGAACCAUUAACCCAUUGAUUGUACAUAUUCUUUUGUAUGAGGAAGAAGCUUCCACAGAGUAAGUGUUACUUCUCUAUUUUCGAUGUUAUGUGGCACUGGAAUAGAGUAACUAUAUGUUGUUUUGAGAUAAAUUUGCUACUCUUAGGAGGAUGACCAAGCUUGGUAAUUCUCCAUGCAGGCCUCAGAGAAAGAAAGCUAAGACAAGCAAGCAAUCAAAGAUGGAAUUGUUACGGAAAAAGUAAAUGAAACUGAAAGCAAAUAGUUAAAAAGUGUUAAAAGUCCCAAAAGAUUGUUAAUUAUAAUGCUUCUGAUUUGGGGUGGUGGAGCUGGUUCCAGCAAGUCUUAAGCUGCUCCUGCUUCCAAGUUCGCCAAGAAGUCCCAGGAUGACAAAACAGAGAGCAAGAACAUCAAAUGUUAGCAGAGAAAAAGAGGAUAGCUCUGAAGAGGAAAACCUCAAACCGUAGGUAAAUCAGCCGGUGCAAAAUCAAGAAGCAGCAAAGAGAUACCAGAAGCUGGAACAUCAAAGGACCAAGGAGACUCUGGAAAAUCCAAAGCUUCAUCCAAGAAAAAAGAAGAGCCGUCCAAGACUACAAUGAUGUCUUCA